rnacentral:rRNA from 1 species
UACGAAGGGGGCUAGCGUUGCUCGGAAUGACGUGGCGUAAAGGGCGCGUAGGCGGUUUGUACAGUCAGGUGUGAAAUUCCCGGGCUCAACCUGGGGGCUGCACUUGAUACGUAUGGACUUGAGUGAGGAAGAGGGUCGUGGAAUUCCAGGUGUAGCGGUGAAAUGCGUAGAUAUCUGGAGGAACACCGGUGGCGAAGGCGGCAUCCUGGACCGGCAUUGACGCUGAGGCGCGAAAGCUAGGGGAGCAAACGGG